UAUAUCCUUUUUUUAGGGGGUGGGCACAGUUCAACCCAUACCAGAUGGUAGGUUAAAGAAAUAUUGUCAUCUUAAGUCCUUUCAGAAACAAGGUGUCUGCUGGGAACCCUGUAUUUAUUUUCAUGGCUAACUGAACUCAUAAUCACAAGCCUCCUGCACACCCCCUACUGGGGAUU